rnacentral:sRNA from 1 species
UACAUGCAUACCUAUA